rnacentral:rRNA from 1 species
UACGUAGGCAGCGAGCGUUGUUCGGAGUUACUGGGCGUAAAGGGUGUGUAGGCGGUUCUUUAAGUUUGGUGUGAAAUCUCCCGGCUCAACCGGGAGGGUGCGCCGAAUACUGAAGAGCUAGAGUGCGGGAGAGGAAAGUGGAAUUCCUGGUGUAGCGGUGAAAUGCGUAGAUAUCAGGAGGAACACCUGUGGUGUAGACGGCUUUCUGGACCGUGACUGACGCUGAGACACGAAAGCGUGGGUAGCAAACAGG